GCAGUCGCCGCGGUAAUACGAAGGGUGCAAGCGUUAAUCGGAAUUACUGGGCGUAAAGCGUGCGUAGGCGGUGAGUUAAGUCUGCUGUGAAAUCCCCGGGCUCAACCUGGGAAUGGCAGUGGAUACUGGCUCGCUAGAGUGUGUCAGAGGAUGGUGGAAUUCCCGGUGUAGCGGUGAAAUGCGUAGAGAUCGGGAGGAACAUCAGUGGCGAAGGCGGCCAUCUGGGACAACACUGACGCUGAGGCACGAAAGCGUGGGGAGCAAACAGGAUUAGAUACCCGCGUAGUCCCUGUCUCUUAUAC
rnacentral:rRNA from 1 species